rnacentral:rRNA from 1 species
UACGUAGGGGGCUAGCGUUGUCCGGAUUUAUUGGGCGUAAAGAGCGUGUAGGCGGUCAGGUAGGUCGGUUGUGAAAACUGGAGGCUCAACCUCGGGCCUGCAGUGGGUACGGGCAGACUGGAGUGCGGUAGGGGAGAAUGGAAUUCCUGGUGUAGCGGUGGAAUGCGCAGAUAUCAGGAGGAACACCGAUGGCGAAGGCAGUUCUCUGGGCCGUAACUGACGCUGAGGAGCGAAAGCGUGGGGAGCGAGCAGG